rnacentral:rRNA from 1 species
AAUAAAUGCUGGUAAUAAGCUUGACACAUGCGAGUCGAAUGUUUGUUUAGAGAGGCAUGGCGAACGGGUGAGUAACGCCUGAGUUAUCUACCUCUUAAUAGAGAAUAAUUUACUUAUUAAAUACUCUAUAAUUCAUAAAAAUUAAAAUUGUUAAGAGAUGAGCUUUGGUAAGAUUAGGUAGUUGGUGAUUUAAAAGACCACCAAGCCAACGAUCUUUAACUGGUUUAAAAGAACGAUCAGUCACAUUGGGAUUGAGAUAAGGCCCAACCUUGAAUUCAAGGCAGCAGUGGGGAAUUUUGGACAAUGAGCGCAAGCUUGAUCCAGCUAUAUUACGUGAGUGAUGAAGGCUAUAUUGGUUGUAAAACUCUUUCAUUGAGAAUGAAACAAGACUUUACUCAAAGAAGAAGUUCCGGCAAACUCCGUGCCAGCAGCC